CUAGUCUCUUAACAGCCUGAUAUCCGUCUUCUGCUCAUUGACGACAGAGGAAAGGCAUCUCUCAACACAUGGUUCCUCCUUCACUUCUCACAGAGAUGAGAGGAGCAGCUAUGAGUUUAACUGCAGCAGCGAGUGGAUUAGUUGUCUUCCUGCUCUCUGUGUCAGUGGUUCAGGGUCAGGAUGGCCGCGGA